rnacentral:tRNA from 3 species
GGUCUGGUGGUCUAGUGGUAUGAUUCUCGCUUAGGGUUCACCCUAUAGCAAAUAUGCGAGAGGUCCCGGGUUCAAUCCCCGGCCAGACCC